AGUAACACAGGAUUUGUCUUCAUCUUGCUGCUCCACCAUCCAAGCAUCUCUGCACAAAACCUGUCCAACUGCUAUCUCUUGCUGCUCUGCACAUUACUCCAAAUCAUUCACCAAAAUGAGCACACAAACCUGCAUCAGUGAAAGCACGAAAAAGACUUACCAAAUAAGUUCAAAUCAGUUUCAAUUUUCCCUUCGGUCCCUCAAAACCUCACUCAAUCUCACUCAGCGAUACACACCCCAUACGAAUCUGAGUCACACACAAAACAACAAAUACAGCACAACCUGCAAAGAAACUCUCAACUUUCACCUCAACGUUCAACCACAACUCACCCUCAACAGCAAUAAUCGAACCUACAGCCUCACCAACAAACACACGAAACUUCACCUCCCUGAAACACAUCGCACCACACCACUCUACAGUAGUCACACACGAAUUGCACACAAAACGCAUAGAAAUCCACAAGGGAGAAGGACGACGAAGAAGAAAAGAGUCAAGGGCGCUUACCUGAAGGUGUUGAAUCCGCUCCAUCGAGGGGUUUUUGCAGGAUAAGGGUUUUAUUUCUUGUUGCUUGCAUUCGUUGAUUGAACAUCGUGAGAGAAAGCAAGAUGAAUGAGUGAAGCCGUGAGAACAGAGAGUGAUGAGCGGCGAGAGCAUUUCGUUGUCGUUGUUGUUCGAUCACGUACUAACAGAGAGCAUUUCGUUGUUGCUCGGGAGGAGGCUAAAGAGUCGACAAAUCUUCAUAUCUUCAUUGGUUUCGGUUGUACCUUAUUGCCUUAAUCAAUCUUGUCCAGAUACCAUGUUGUGACCGAAUUUUUUAUCCUAUUUUCUUCUUGUUAUGCUAUGUCUCUACUUUUAACUUGGUUAUACUUUUAUUCUUUGUUCUGUUUGAAUUUUUCUAGUCCCAAAAUGUUGAAAUACUUCCAAUAAAGGCCUUGGAGGUUUUGAAGGAACUAAGGUUGUCUACCUCAAACUGUUCAACUUGUUGAUGAUACCUGUGGUUUGGCUGUUUCCAUUUACAUAUUAAUCAUUUAUAUACAUGAUUUAUAAAAUCCUUUUUUUUUUCCAGGGAUUUGCCAGUGGUUUUAUUAAAAUUGUCUAAGGAGUUCAACAUUGAAAAGUUUCUUGUUUUAUUGGACUCCCUAAUUGACUGCAGUUCUAAAGAUGAAUACUGCUAGCAGGCUUUGCUGUCCUUGAUAGAAAAGGUCCCCAUAAAUGAUUCUGUUCAUCACGUGGUCACCAAAAUCCUAUCAACUUGUGUGAAACUACCCCAAAAAGUUGACUACUCAAUAUCUUUGAUGUCAGUUGGAUGGGCAAAAAAGAUUCUGAUAAUUGUUAAUACAAAGUAUCCGUCUGAACUCCGUGGAGCAGUUAAUCAUUUCCUUCAGAAUAACAAAUCACAUUCAAAGAAAGACGAUUCACUGUAUAAGAUUUUAUGCAAGAUGUUGGAUGGUAAUCUGGAUUCACCAUCUGAUAUCUCAGAGUCUAAAGUUUGGUUUGCCUUGUAUCAUCCAAAGGUAGUACCACCCAUUAACUUUCUAUUGAAUUUCAGUGUCUAUAAUCAUGAAGUGUGAAUGGUCAUCAAUUUUCUGUUAGUAUUUAUGAGCUUCAUUCUUAUUUGAUAUGGUAUAGGCUGAUGUUAGACGAACUACACUGUGUGAUAAUCAUGUUGCCUCCGAGUCGUGUUUUCUUUCUUUUUCAAGAAAUGCACAAACCCUAAAAACAUGUUGCCUUUGAAUUGUGUGUUUUCUCUCUCAAUGAAUUCCAUUUCGUUUCUCAUAGUUCUUGUAAUACCCUACCAAUAUGCGUCUAGAAUCAUAUCAGUAAAAUAUUAAUAACUGGUACUGAGUACAAACAAAAGCUAGGAAUAAUGAUAUAAAUUGCAUACAUUUAUAAAUCAUCUCGAAGAUGGAUACAACGAAUAUGUCUACACAGUAAUAAUAAUAUACGGCGGAAGAAAAGAUUAGGCACGGUCUUCACGACAUCCGAAACCAUGGAAUCAACUCCGAAUCGCAUCACACGAUUCGAAUCCUCAAUAAUAUGGACCGUAGGGAAACAUGGAUUCUCAUCGAAUUGCAUCGCACAAUUCAACUCAUCAAACCCAUGGAAUCAACUCCGAAUCGCAUCACACGAUUCGAAUCCUCAAUAAUAUGGACCGUAGGGAAACAUGGAUUCUCAUCGAAUUGCAUCGCACAAUUCAACUCAUCAAACCCAUGGAAUCAACUCCGAAUCGCAUCACACGAUUCGAAUCCUCAAUAAUGAGAACGAUAAGGGGAAGGUAUUGGUUCGCAUCCCCGGGAGUUCAUCCCCGAAGAAUACUCCUGAACUACAGAGCACCAAUCAAUCCUGAGCGUCACACCCGAGAAGGACCUUCAUAUAUGGCCUGGGAGCAUCCUUGGACAUCGCAUCACAAGGACAACCACAUAUAAGUAACAAGCAUCGCACCGGUUACUACCCUCAUGCCCAUUAUGUAACCCUUCGCCAUGGCACAGCCUUGUUACUUGACCUCCGUUAAUCCUUCAUAAUAUACAUUCUAAGGAUUACCUCGCCAUUAUGGUUAUUGAGUAAACAUCCUCUUAACACUUAUGUUAAUUGUAUAACCUUUCAUCUCUUGGUCCAUAUAACUCAAUCUGUCAUUACAUGACUUAAUUAUCUUUAAUUAAUCAUGUAUUAUACUUAGGUUAGUUUAUAUAAACCCAAGAGUCAAUCAUACAUGUAACAUACUAAUAUUUCACCAAGUUUUACUUUAUUAAACAAGAUACAAAAUAUACAUUUGGAUUAUAGUAAUAUUUAGAAGUAUGAUAGAGUUAUGGAAGCUUAGGCAUCUCAUAGCCCUUUCUGUUAGCUUUCCAACGAUAUAAAAUUUGCGUCAAUCGGAUAUACGAUGCAAAAGUUAUGAAUUUAUGAAGUUUCGAAAAAGCUGCCCAAACAGUGAUGUAACGGGUUACAUGAAUCAUGUAACCGGUUACAUGGCCCAAAAACUGCGUUUUCCCCCCUUUUUCACACAUGUAACCGGUUACAUCAACCAUGUAACCGGUUACAUCGCUGACAGACCCAAAAAUUCUGCAUUUUAGGAGUUCUAAACCAGACCCAAACCCCUCUAAUUGAUUCCCAGCAUCAUAAUUUAAUCCCAAACGAAUUUACAACAUGCAAUAGUGAUCUAAUGUACAUAUUACAUACAUAAAACACAAUCUCAUCAUUAAAUCAAACAUGCAUCAAGUUAGCUCACACUAAAACCCUUAACAUACAAAUUCUUCCCCAAAUUCUACCCAAGGUUUCUAAUCUAAUGGAACUCACCUUGAAUAGGGAAGAGAUUCUGAAUUCCAAGCUUAGAAGGAGAUGACGAUGAAGACCAAUUCUGACUUGGGAGAUGAAGGAGAAGAUGAUGCACUUGAUCAUGGUUCUUUCUCCAAAAUCACCUAACUCCUCGUACAUGCAUCCAUGGAGAAAUAAUUUGAUGCCUCUUCUUCCUUUCCCUUCCUUUCACGUUUUCUCUCUAUCUUUCCCCCAAAAUUCUGAUUUUGCUAAGGCAAGAAUGAGUCAUUUCCACCAAACUAGUCUUUAAGUUCCUAUUUAAGUAGUGGAUUGACCACACUACCCUUCAACCAUGACAUAAUUACCAAGGUGCCAUCUAGUUCAAUUCUAACCAAUCCUUAGAAUUUUUAACAACUUCUCUUAAUAACUAUUAACUAUCCAUAGGUCUCAUGCUUAGAGAAAUAAGGUUGUUACAGUUCUUUCGCUAGUCUUUUCUGUUAUCGAAGCUUUUAAUCACUAUAUUUUGGUUCAAACAUGGAGUCCCACUUCUUGUCGAGAUUUGGCUUGCAUUAUUCCCCCAGUGGAGAAUCAUUUUCAUCUACACGGAUUAUGGCCGAAGGAACUCCAUGACCCUUCUCAACCUCCAUAUCGUGGACCGGGAAACAUCGAUGGUCAACUUUCCAAGGGGCUCACGGCAAUGAGGUAAUACUUUUAUUUUUGUUUUAUGCUACACCAUACUACUCCCGUGCAUAUAUAAUAUUGAUCUUCAGUGUUACCAUUCUGUUUCAGUCUUAAUCGUUCUCGCAAGUAUGAACUUAUUGCUUUGCUGAAUAUUUAAUUGAUUGCUUUGAUUUAUAAAUUGAAUUGUUGAAUUGAUGAUGAAGAUUCUUGAACAAAAUUAUGCACGUAAGGUGUUUGUUUUAAUUCUUGACAUCGUUUUCUUUCUUAUGACAUAGAGUUUUUUUUUGACGGAAAGCUAACUUCUAUGACUUACAGUAUUAUGUGAUAGUGGAUUCUGGAUAUUGUGAACGUAAUAAAUAGAUCCUGUGUCAUUUAGCUUGUGUUCAAUUGUUGAUUCCAUAUCCGGAUUGAUUUGCUUUACUUAAUUUCCACAUGUCGAGACUUUGUUGCUUGUGUUGCUAAUUGUUGAAAAAAUUAAACAAGUUGAGAUGAUGUUCAUGAGAUUGAUUCUUUUUUUUUUCUUCUUUUUCUUUUCACGAUACUUGAAUCUAGUUGGUGAUAAUUGUUAAUCAUGUAGAGUUGUUGUUGGUGUGAGUCAUGGGAGAUUCGUCCGCGAGAAUUCAUGUUGAUGAUAAUGUUUGAUGAGAACUAGUUGUUGGCUUGGGAUUCUUUUUAUGAUUAAUUGAUGAUAUGGACUUUGAUUAAUUGAAUGUUGCUGAAUUUGGAUUAGUAAUACACGCUGUUCAUUUUCCUUAUGAAUUGUAUGGAGAUAACAUGCUUUGACAGGAUUGUUGAAUUCUAUUUGGUUGAGUAUAUCACAUGUUGAGAGACUUUGUGGAUACUUAGCUUAUUGAAACAUGAAUUGAUGAAGACAUGUUCUCCUCUUGUGGUGUGAUUGGUUGGUUAUCUUUGUGCAUGCUCUUACUGCAUUUCGUUGUGAUACACUUGCCGCACCGUGUGAAGUUUUGUCACUAAACGCUAGUUUAAGAUGGAAGCAUGCUUUGUUGUGUUUAUGACAAUAAUAAUUGUUGUUUGUGUUGAGUAAUGAUGGAGUGGAUUUUGUUGAUGACAUUAUUGUUGUGAAGAAACAUACUUGCUGUGCUAAUGCUGGAAAAUUUGAUGAUGUUUUGGUGGAGUUUUGAUGAUAUUUUGGUGUUAUUUUGAUGAUAUUUUGUAGCUGGAAAUUCAAUGAUGUUUUGGUGAUUGUUUUGGUACUCUAAAGGUGCAUAAAAUGGUAUUAACAUGCGUGCAUGAUUGCUGAAAAUUUUGAGUGAUAAUUGUUGGUGCUUGACAUAAAAAUGGAUGAAAAUGGUGGAUUAAAAAGGAUAGUAAUGCUGAAUUUUUGCUUGAGGACUUGUUUUGAUGUUCAUUAGUUGAAUAAUGGUGACAAUGGCUUUGUUCUUAAUUGUUGGUUGAUUACAUGAGUUGGAAACAUGAUUGUUGAGCUUUAAUUGGUAGUAUAAUCUAUUUUUUGUUGCCAUGAGCUUGUGUUGUUGUGAAAAUUGACAAAUAUUGGAAAGAGCUUUGCUAUCAUUUGUUACAUUUUCAAAUUUGGUGCUAUUUCUUACUUGAUGGAUUGUCAUCAAAGUAUAUGCUAACAGCAACACUAGAAGUCAAGUAAAGGUUAAUAAAUAAAUUUAAAACCAAAUUAAGUGCUCCCUCAUCAUAUCUCUUAUUAGAAGAGAGCCAAAAUUUUGUUGAUUCUUCUACGUAUAAUACUACUGUCUUGAAACCAAAGAACAACACUAACGUAACAUAUAUUCUCAACUUUGUUGUUUAGGAAAGAAAACCUAAUAGAGUAUCGGCAACAAAAAACCAGAAAGUUUGGAAUCAUUAUAUAUAUGCUCAAAAUUCUCCUAUAUAUCUCUAUCUUCAAAUGUGAAUGAGGCAACGACUGCACCACCUCAUAGCAGCCUCAUAGCAACGGUAGUGGUGCAUGGUUAGCAUAUAACUGCGGCGUCCGACCAUCCAGCAAUGUUUACAUAACAUUAGCCUCCAAUCAAACCCAACUUCUAGGAAGGACGUUUGUCUCUACCAACUGGGGACUGCUUGGGUCACCUACUCUACAAACAAAGCAUCUGGAGAAAAUCAGAGUAUUGGAAAUAUAACUGUCCCCUGAAACUAAAGUUACUAUUACUACAUUAUAUGUGACAUGAACAAAAAUGAUUUAAAAUUAAGGUUUUGGUUUAAAAAUAAUGGUUUGAAAAUAAUAACGGUGGGUGGUUUGACUAGUCGUGUGUGGUAGAUUGUACACAAUGUAAUUUGUGUUUUUCUUAAAACACAAUAUGCCCAGUUUGAAAUAGUCUUUUAUGGGGAUUAACAUUGAUUCAUAGAAUAACAUAUAUCACUCACACAAUAUUCAGAAGAAUAUCCACCGAGCAUCCUUAAUAUAAAUCCAAUGUUGGAGAGAGUGACUCUAUAAUUUCUGGCGCAGAUGUGAGAGCCUUCCCAAUAAUGCUCAUAUUAGGCCUAGACCAAAUAUUAGAGUACAGCGUUAAAUGGUCAGUCCAACUAUGAAAUUAUAAAAUAAAAUAAAAUGGAAUUAGUGAUAUAGUAACAUUCAAAUUCAAUUUCAUUUUGUUGUAAUUUUGCCACACACAACAUUAAGACAAUGAAUAUCAUUGUUACUAAACGACGAAGUGUUUUAAUGCUGGAUGUUUUAGGAAGAUGAUUGACUGGUUGAGAAGACUUGACGUUGGAUUUUAUAGUUGGACUCUUGACAGCUGCUCGAGGUGUCUUAAUGUUGCAUUUUGAUGGACAAUAUUUGACUGCUCGAAGAGCCUUGAUGUAGGACCUUAUAGCAAGACUUUUUACUUCUAGAGGUGUCUUAAUGUUGGAGUUUGUAGUACGAUGUUUCACUCGUCGAGGAGCCUUAAGUUUGUUUGAAUUAGUAGCACGACUCGGUGGUGAUGGUGGGUUUACAUACGUGACAUAUUGAAACUCAAUUGGACAAUUACCCCUGUGGGGACAGUCUAUAAAGUGAUAAAAAUCACGUAAAAUAUUUCACGUUAUAGACUGUUCCCACAGGGUCAAUUGUCCAUUUAAGUUUCAAUAUGUCUAGUAUGUAAACCCACCACCAGCGAGUCGUGCUUUUGAUUCAAACAAACUUAAGGCUCCUCGACGAGUGAAACAUCGUACUACAAACUCCAACAUUAAGACACCUCUAGAAGUAAAAAGUCUCGCUAUAAGGUCCAACAUCAAGGCUCUUCGAGUCAAAUGUUGUCCAUCAAAAUGCAACAUUACGAAACCUCGAGUAGCUGUCAAGAGUCCAACUAUAAAAUCCAACGUAAGUCUCCUCAACCAGUCAAACAUCUUCCUAAAAAAUCCAGCAUUAUGGCACCUCGUCGUUUAGUGACAAUGAUAUUCAUUGUCUUAAUGCCAUGUGUGGCAAAAUUGCAACAAAAUGAAAUUUUAUUUGAAGUUUAGUAUAUCACUCAAGCCAUUUUAUAUUUUCAUAGUUGGUCUGGCCCUUUAACGAUGUACUCUAAUAUUUGCAGUUGUAGCAGCAUUAUGUGUGCAGGGUGAAGCCGAUUUUAGGCCUAAUAUAAGCAUUCUUGUGAAGGCUUCCACACCUGCGUCAGAAAUUAUAGAGGCACUCUCCAACAUUAGAUUUAUAUUAGGGUUGCUCUGUGGAUAUUCUUCUAGAUAUUCGUAUGAUAUAUGUUAGUAUAUGAAUCAAUGCUAAUCCCUUUAAAAAUUUAUUUCAAACUGUGUAUAUUGUGUUUUAAGAAGAACACAAAUUGCAUUGCGUACAAUCUAACCACACGUGACUAGUCAAACUAUCAACUUGUAUUAUUUUCAAACCAAAACCUUUGUUUUAAAUCAUUUUUGUUCAUGUCACAUAUAAUGUAGUAAUAGUAACUUUAGUUUCGGGGGACAGUUAUAUUUCCAAUACUCUCAUUUUCUCCGGAUGCUUUGUUUGCAGAGUAGGUGACCCAAGCAGUCCCCAGUUGGUAGAGACAACCGUCCUUCCUAUAAGUUGGGUUUGAUUGGAGGCUGAUGUUAUGUUGACAUUGCUGGAUGGUCGGACGUUGCAGUUGUAUGCUAAUCAUGUACCACUAUCGCUACUAUGAGUUGUUGCCUCAUUCACAUUUGAAGAUAGAGAUAUAUAGGAGAAUUUUGAGCAUAUAUAUAAUAAUUUCAAACUUUUUGGUUUUUUGUUGCUGAUACUCUAUUAGGUUUUCUUUCCUGAACAACAAAGUUGAGAAUAUAUACGUUACGUUAGUGUUGUUCUUUGGUUUCAAGACAGUAGUAUUAUACUUAGAAGAAUCAACAAAACUUCGGCUCUCUUCUAAUAACAGAUAUGAUGGAGGAGCACUUAAGAAUUUGGUUUUGAAUUUAUUUCUUAACCUUUACUUGCCUUCUGGUGUUGCUUUUAGCAAAUAUAUGUUUGGAUCUUGAUAUCAUGAUUUUCACUGUGUUCUGAUUUCUAUAAUGAAAUGUAAAAAACAUACCUGGAUCCAUGUCGGUGUUUCUGGAAUUUUACAAUUAAUAACUUCACGAUUGUAUAUGCAAAAUUGUAUUUUCUGUGAUUUAUGAUAGUUUGCAUAUUGGUAACAGUAAUUAUUACGGAAUAGUAUGUUUUUUAUGUUUGUAUUUUGAUUUUUCGAUAGUUAUUAAUUGGUAUUGAUAUGUAUCAUAAUUAAUUUUGAUAUGCAUGUUGCCGUAAUGAACAGUGGUUUGUAAGACUUGUUCAUAAUUGAAAGUGAAUAUGGAUGGCCACUUAUUGCAUAAUAAUACCAUGUCUCUGUAUAUUAUACUCAGUCAUUUCUGUAUUGUGGCUUCAUAAAAAUGUUGAAAACUAAACAUAAAAGUUCAUCAUAAAUGCUAAAAUCAUAAACUGUGCAUUGCAUUGUAUAUUUCUAAUAUUGAUAUAUGUUAAAGGGUAGGUACUCAAACGAGUUCUAACAAAAGGAGUGGGUAGAAUUCUAAAUAAUUUAGAUUUUUCUCCCACAGUUUUAAUUACUUCAAGUGUUUGAGAAAUUUGGCAUAUUUUAGAAUCUUCUUAAUUACUUCAAUGAGUGAAAUGUUCACUUCCACGUUUCUGAAUGUAUCUAAUGCUUACUUGUCUCUAUUUUCCUCAUCUAUUUUUUAGUCUUCAUUGCUAUUUGAGGGUGAGGAAGUGGUUUAGUGUUCUUGUUUACAUCAAUGGUUUCAGGUUUUGGUUCAGGUAUAUUUCUCGGGUGUUUCUUUAACAUUUUUUUUCCGAUCUAAAACUAGUGACACUUCAAUUAGGAUUAUUCGAAUUCACUAUUGUUUGAGCAUGUGAUUGAUUGAAAAUUUUAGUUGUCCAAUAUUGGUCUAAUUUUUGAAUGGUGAAAUGUGUUCUUUGUUAAAAUUGUAAAUUUUGAACAGCCAUUUGGAUGAAUAGUUAUUCACUAAUCUAGUGUUGAGGACAUGUAGACACUAGUUUUUGAAUCACCCCAGUAGUCAUUAAAAAAUUCUCUAUAAAUCUUCCUAAUGCCACAUAUCCCUUUUCUAAUACAAGAAGCUCUUGAGGCAGGCAGGAAAAAAUAUAUCUAUGAAUACUUUCUUCUAAUCAUUCCAGCUUGUAAUAUAAUAUGCCUGAAAGUAGUACAACUAAUCUAUCGCAGCACCUUGAAGAUACUCUCAACUUGAUAUGGUCUUUCGUGACUCCCUCGGGUUUCAGUGGUGUAGAUCAUGCUACAUAAAAUUAUUUCAAGUAUUAAUGAGGAUUCUCUCCUGCAAAACCACUAAACUUUACCAACAAGUGUAUCUUGCUAGAUUUAAGCUCAAAUAGUACAGUCAGGUAGGUUAUUCUGAAUACACAAUGCUUGAUAAGUGACAUUAGGUAUAUCUAGCUCUAUUGUAGAUCUUUGAGGUUCAUCCAUAUUAUGAUUAGUAAAUUCAGUAUUAGAAUCAAAUAAAAUAUGAUUGAACAACAACACAAUAUUCCAACAGUGACCCUUUUACUCAAAGCAAAGUGGAAAAUGAAAAAAAAAACGAUUAAAAUUAAAUAUAAAAUAGCAACAAAAAUUUCUAACAGUAUCCUUAUUACUAAAAUCUAAUUGGAAAAUUAAAAAAAUGUAAGUUUUUUUUUUUUUUUUGGAUUUUUUCAAAAAUACAACAAAUUCAAAAGUCAAUCAAAAGGAAGGAAUUUGAAAUUUUUAGAGUGAAAACAUCUAAGGGAGUCAUGUUCUUUGAUUUAUUUGUGAUUCUAUGGGAACAUUUUGGUUCUUUGAUUUAUUUGUGAUUCUAUGGGAACAUUUUGGAACAAUCUGAAUAAUUGCUCAAUGGUCACUUGCGUGAUUAUUUGGAAUAUUUACCUAUAUACUACAACCUUGUAAAUCAAUAAAAUAAAACAUGAAUGCUAAUAGGAUUUUAAAAUUGACAUUAUUGUUAGAGGAUCCCCAAUAAUGACGUUAAUUUGAUUUAUUGUCUCACACAAGUCUAAAAAGAACUAAUAAAAAUUGUAGUUUAUAGAAGUGACACUUGAGUUGUAUCGCAUAAACUCCUAAUUCAAUUGACUAAAUUUAUAAUGAAUAAAGUUAUAAAGUGGACUUUUCGAGUUUGCACGAUUUUAAGAAAAUUCGAUAAAAAUGUGUUUGAGUACAAAUCUAUUGAUCUGCUAAAUCGUCAACUCUGACCUAUCAGUUCUAUAAUUCAAUCUCUAAUUUCAAUUUUAUUCACUACUACAAAAAAAAUACAUUUUAUGACAAGGUAAAUAAUAGGCACGCCACAUUUUAAAUUUAAAAAAAAUAAGUUACAUACUCCCUCAGUUGAGCUGCCAACCUAGUAAAAAAGUAUACAGGGAACACGUCUUUGAAUUCAAACAACUGUAUUUUAGCAACUUUUAAUAUUUUAUAUUUUUGUUUAUGGCCUAUUACCUCAGGUGAGCUGACAAUCGAGGGAAAAAAUAUUAAUGGAACACGCCUUCAAAUUUUAGCAACUACAUUUUAGCACCUUUUAUUUUAUUUAUAUUUUAAUUUAUGGCCUAUUACUUUGGUUGAGCUAUCAACCGAAGGGAAAAGUACUAGGGGACACACCUUCCAAUACCAGCAACUACAUUUUAGCAGGGUCGGUCCCGACUUUUUAGAGGCCCGGGACAAAUAAAUAAAUGGGCCCAUAAUAAAAAACACGUGUAUAAUUCGCCUCCAAAAUGAAGAAGAAUCUCGGAGACAAGAUAAAAAAUAUGAAGUCUUGAUUAUUUCGAACAAUAAAAAUAAUUUCAAUGUAGAUAAGUAGCCGUAUGCAAAUCAUUAAGAAUUCAAAAUCAAAAUAUAAUUAACUGAAUUAAGAAUGAGAAUCUUUAGAUUGCUUUAAGUGUUCCAUUUUCUAUGUAACAUCCACCCUCUCAAAUAAUUGCAAUUGACGUUUUCUCUGAAAAAUCAAAUCAUAUGGCUAAAAAAUGUAGGAGUAGGGGUAAACCAUGUCCUGACCAUAAUAGGCAGGUUUACUUGAUUGAUAAAUAAUUUAUGGUGAAUUCUUAUCAACCCAACUCAAAAAGUUGGGUAAGGUUACCUCCUUUGUAAAAUGCUUUGAAAAUAACAAACAUUUAUAGUAUUUUAAUAUUUUAAUAAAUAAUUAAAUGUAUUAAAUGAGAUGGAAUCAUGUGAUUGGUUAAAGGUACACUACCCAACUUUUUGUGAUGGGUAGAGAAGUUUUUCCCAUAAUUUAUUUCUAUGAUAAAAAAAUAAUAAAUCAAAGCAUAUGUGAUGAUAAAUUUAAUUUCAUCAUAAAAAUCUAUAAUAAAUUAGGUAAUUAUAUGACAAACUUUUAAAUAUUUAAUUAUAAUAUGUAAAUAAUUUCUAAAAUUUAUAUACUAAAAUAAAUUAAAAUAAAAUUAUAAUAGUUCCAAUUAAUAACCAUUAAAAGUAAAUUUUAUAAUAACCAUUAAAAAUAAAUUUUGGAUUUAAAAUUUAAUUAUAAAUGUUAAUCGAUUAUAAACAAAUUAUUUUUAUAAUAAAAUUAGAAAUAUUAAUUAGUUAAAAUGAGAGAGUUAUGGCACUAAGUUAAUUAAAUAUGCCAACUGUACUUAUGUAGGUAGUAAAAAAAACAACCUGAACUUUAGAAAGUAAGCCCAAACCCGAGUUGAGAACACUUCACCCACCCAGCAAUUGCAAAUCCGCUAGGCCACAAGUAAUGUGUUAUGUUUUCCAUUUCGCUAAAAGCUAUAUAAUUUAAUAUUUCAGUGUUAUUAAUUUUUAACUACACCUCCCAAAUUUUGAGGCCCCCAUUUUGUUGAGGCCCUGGGCUGUGGGCCUGAUUGCCCUGGCCCAGGGCCGGCCCUGCAUUUUAGCAACUUUUAAUUUUUUUUUUAAUUUUUGUUUAUGAUCUAUUACCUCGACUAUGUUGAAAAAAGAAGGGAAAAGUAUUGAUCAACCCGCGUUUUGAAUUUCAACAACUGCAUUUUAACGCGUUUUAUGUAACUUUAUUUUUUAUUUAUGACCUAUUUGUUGUACCCCACCGCUACACUAUUACCUCAUUUGAUCUAGCAACCGAGUGGAAAUAUUUGUUAGCCAUUAGUAAAAUAACAACAUUCAAGACAUUGUUAACUCAUCAAUCCACAUGAAAUAUUAGUGAUCCGCGUGAAACUCUCACCAGCCAAUCAAAACGUGAAAGCCACAACGAUCCAUGUUGGACGUAAAGUGAUGAAAUACAAACUUAAGAUAAUAAAAAUAGUGAUAAUGAAAGCAAUUGCAUGAAGUACAACAUCUUUCUCUCAGAUGGAUUGCAAAAGUAGGAAAAUAUUUCAAGGUUGGUUCCUUAAUGCAAUCUCUUCUCUUAUAAUUGCUUGUUAAAAAUGUUUAAUGUUAGUUUAAAAAGAAAGGAUGUAACUUAGCAAUGUUAGUUCUUGCUCUUGUGUCUAGUAAAAUGUUUAAUGUAGAUGUUGUUGCUGGAUUUAAUGUUUAAAGAUUCUAUUGGUUUUGCUUAUUUGUUGUUGUUGUUGUUGUUGAGAUUUUAUAUUUAAAUCUUCUAUUGAUUUUGUUGUUGUUGUUAGACAAAUUUAAUUUUUAACGAUUUUAUUGAUUUUAUUUUGUUACUGUCGAUGUUGAUAAUAAUGAGGAGGAAGAAUCAAAACUCGUCAACAAAUUUGAUUCUUUGCAUAUCAAAAGAAAAUAAAAUAGGUUAAACCAAAAAUUAUGUAAAUAUGAUAUUUUACCUCGGGUGUUAAUUCCAAUUGAGGGGAAAAGUUUAAAAAUUGUUUUUGCUGACAGGUCGAACCCAUGACCAGUCACAUUUUUCCCCUCGGUUGGGGAUUCAACUGAGGGAAAAAUGACACACUUUUAAUAACACUCGUCGAACCCAUGACCAGUCACAUUUUUCCCCUCGGUUGGGGAUUCAACUGAGGGAAAAAUGACACACUUUUAAUAACACUCUUAUUUACUUGCCCACUAAAAACCGAUGUAAACCCCAUUUCCAAUCGAGAUAAUAACACUUAUUUUGUGUGAAUUUGAAUUCCUGUUACGGGAUAAAGAAUUAUGGUUGACUGUGAACUAGAGUUAAAUAAUCAAGCAUAGUAAAACUAUAACCUAUCGAUUAUGUCCUAAGGAAUUGAAUUCUAUCGGACUAAAUUCUAUCGGCAUUUGAAUUAAACGUUCAAAACAAACAAAAUCAUAUAGGAUGGAAUAUCAUUAAUGAAAUUAAAUAUAUAACGUACAAACCUCGAGUUGUGACGAAUUGGUGCAACAACGGAUCGAAAGAAAAUUUUAGCCGUCCAUUUGAGGUUCUCUUCUUGAAAAUUCCAUGUUCUCAAUUCUAAAAACUCUCCCCUUAUUUUAAAUCCUAAAGCGCGAUUAAAUAUAACAAAUGUUUGGACUUUAAGAACACCGGGUGCGAAAAUAUAAAAUGGCCCAACAUAAAACAUAAAAUAAACUUUACUUCAAAAGUCUAAUACGAAAAACAGAACUAUAGAUUGAUCCAUACUCCAAAUUAGGUUAUGGAAUUUACAUUCAACUUGAGCUUUUUCUCCUAGCUUGUUCAAAAUAACCAUAAAUCGAACUGAACCGCCGAACUAAAUCGAAUUGGAGUUAAAAUAACCAAACUAUUACUAAUGGUUAGUGAACCAUACAUAUAUUUUAUUAAUGGUUCUAGAACAAAACCAUUAAGCAAUUAACAAAUCUCAAAUUAAUUCCGAACCGAAUCAUUGUUACUUUAGUUUCUAAAUGAAAUUUAUUUUUUUCGUACCCCAAACUUUAAUGGUUCUAGAACUGAUAUUAAUAGUUGCUCUAAUAGAAGACCGUCAUACCCCAAAAUUUGCCCUACUUUCUUCUCAAGUAUCUGACCUUAAUCGUUUAAAAUCAUCGAGGGACUUGUAUCUGACUUUUGUUUCUUAGUCAUUUCAUUAUAAUAUUCAUUCAUCAUUUCGUAUUCAUGCAUAAGUCAAUAUCAAAGGACCAUUUCAUUAAGAUUAAAAUCAAUUGCAUUACAUUCAUUUUUUCUUUGAAUUUGGAUUUCAAGUAAGCCAUAAACAAUUGACUUACUAAUAGUGUGUUUGGUUUAGCUUUUCAACAUACAAACGCGCGUUUCAACAUGACCCUACCGUGAUUUUUGAGAAACUAUAAAAGGCAGCUUCUGCGAAAACGUGGAAAUCCACCGUGAUUUCAUAGAAGCCACCGCUAAUCCAAACAGGCUAUAAGAAUUUGAAUUUAUUGUGAAGGUUAAGAUGGUUUGCAUUGUUACUUGAAUUCAAUUUUUUUUUUUUGCAUAACUUAGAUUGCAUUCUCCUUUUAAGUUUUAUUGGGAUUGGGGCUAGUGAUUAAAUUGCUAUUUAAUUACUAUUGCUAAUUUAAAUUGGAUUUAAGAAUCAUUUAACAUAAUUAAAGAAAUGAGGCAUUUUUAUUAUAUUAUUUAAACAUAUUACAAAAAAUAAAAAAAAUAAAAAAUAAGAAUUAACAGCAUCUUGAUUUCUCAUUUGACUAAUUUUAAGUCCGCAUGAGCAUUACUAUAUAUAAAACGAAAAUUCAUUUUUAUCUCCCUGGCAUCAUCAUCUUGCAAACAUCCUCUUGCAAACAUCCUCAUAUGACUCAUACCUGCAAACCCUAGCAACCAAAACAGUCCAAAAAACUACAGCUGUUAUCUGUCCAAAAUCAGACCCUGCACAUACAAACAAAAUAAACAGUCUUGCUGCACCAAACUUUCCCGUAAUGAAUCAACCAAGACCUGCAUAAAAAAAAAGUAGAAAAUCAUUACAUCAAAAUUGACCCAAGAAAGCUUUGCAAGCAAGGGUUCUAUUUCAAAUUUUCUCCCUCAAAUGCUAGCUUGAACACUAUAUAAAGAAGUCAUCCGACUAUCAGAAGGGGGAGAAAACCUUACAAAACAUCUGUUAAAAAAAUCACUCUCAACUUCCCCCAAAUUUCUUCAGAAUUUUCAACCAUCACAAACCCACCACACUCAACAGCAAACCACACCGCCCUAACCUCACCUUCAGCCAUCAAAUACCCUCCCUUAACUCCAUAAAACUGUAUACCUCAAUGACCUUUCAACCAAAACGACAACAACACAGACGCUUUCCUCACAACAACAACAAACACCUCACAAAACUUUCACAACCUUCACACUCAAAACGCAUCAGCUCACACGCCAAAUCAACACAACAACUUUCACUGACCAGAAGCAGAAUCACAGCGGAUUCCAGAAGCAAGAGGAGACGGAAAGCAGAAGAAGACCGAGCAAGAACCACGUACUCGAUUUCUUUUGUCGCUUUUGAUUUCCCUUUGAAUUUGAUUGAUGUACUCUCUAAUCCUUGAUCAAUAGUGAAAAUGGGGGCUGAUAUAGGGUUUCAAUGAGGUUUAGGGUUCUUUCUGACUGAAUCUUAUUUGUUUGCUUGUGUGUUGUAUCAUGAAUCGAUCUAGAGAGAUCAAGAGUGAAUUGGGAGAUUGAUGAAGGCAGAGAGACCGUGAAAGGCACGUUUCGAGUGAGAGAAUCGCGAGAGAGAAGCAGAGAAGAACGUGUUCAGGUACGAUCAAAAUUCAAACAAUUUCUUUUCACCAUUUGUGAAAAUGUGGCAAAUCUUUAUACAAGAACUUCUUAUGACAUUUUAUAGUUAAAAAAUGAAUAUUUAAAAAUGAACAUAAUAAAUAGAUCCUGUGUCAUUUAUCUUGUGUUCAAUUGUUGAUUCCAUAUCCGGAUUGAUUUGCUUUACGUAAUGUCGACAUGUCGAGACUUUGUUGCUUGUGUUGCUAAUUGUUGAAAAAAUUAAACAAGUUGAGAUGAUGUUCAUGAGAUUGAUUCUUCUUUUUUUUUUUUCACUUUUCAUGAGUUGUUGUUGGUGUGAGUCAUGGGAGAUUCGUCCGCGAGAACUCAUGUUGAUGAUAAUGUUUGAUGAGAACUAGUUGUUGGCUUGGGAUUCUUUUUAUGAUUAAUUGAUGAUAUGGACUUUGAUUAAUUGAAUUUUGCUGAAUUUGGAUUAGUAAUACACGCCGUUUAUUUGGAGAUAACAUGCUUUGACAGGAUUGUUGAAUUCUAUUUGAUUGAUUAUAUCACAUGUUGAGAUACUUUGUGGAUGCUUGGCUUAUUGAAACAUGAAUUGAUGAAGACAUGUUCUCCUCUUGUGGUGUGAUUGGUUGGUUAUCUUUGUGCAUGCUCUUACUGCAUUUCGUUAUGAUACACUUGCCGCACCGUGUGAAGUUUUGUCACUAAACGCUAAUUUAAGAUGGAAGCAUGCUUUGUUGUGUUUAUGACAAUAAUAAUUGUUGUUUGUGUUGAGUAAUGAUGGAAUGAAUUUUGUUGAUGACAUUAUUGUUGUGAUGAAACAUACUUGUUGUGCUAAUGCUGGAAAAUUUGAUGAUGUUUUGGUGGAGUUUUGAUGAUAUUUUGGUGUUAUUUUGAUGAUAUUUUGUAGCUGGAAAUUCAAUGUUGUUUUGGUGAUUAUUUUGGUACUCUAAAGGUGCAUAAAAUGGUAUUAACACGAGUGCAUGAUUGCUGAAAAUUUUGAGUGAUAAUUGUUGGUGCUUGACAUAAAAAUGGAUGAAAAUGGUGGAUUAAAAAGGAUAGUAAUGCUGAAUUUUUGCUUGAGGACUUGUUUUGAUGUUCAUUAGUUGAAUAAUGGUGACAAUGGCUUUAUUCUUAAUUGUUGGUUGAUUACAUGAGUUGGAAACAUAAUUGUUGAGCUUUAAUUGGUAGUAUAAUCUAUUUUUUGUUGCCAUGAGCUUGUGUUGUUGUUGUGAAAAUUGACAAAAUAUUUAAAAGAGCUUUGCUAUCAUUUGUUACAUUUUCAAACUUGGUGCUAUUUCUUACUUGAUGGAUUGUCAUAAACAUAUACUUUGAUGCAUAAUUUUAUGGAAAUUUGGUUGCUAGUGCUCACUUGAAAACUAUAUCAUGAACCAAUUUCAACUUGUGAAUUUUUGUGUGUUCUUUGAAUCGAUUGUUGUGAAGCAUGAUCUUGAGUUUGAAUGUGUUUCUUUGGCUUAUUAGGGACUGUCAUGGUAUUGAUAUUAUGCAGAAUUUUUGUUAGUUCCAUUUACACUACAUUUCCAUCUUCACAACUCAUGAAAAGUAUCCAAUUUGUUGCUUUUUUUGACUUAGGUCUUGUUGAUUUUGGUUGUUUGUUGAUUCUCAGUGAUAAAAUAUUGUUUCCUUGUGCUACUAAUUGAUAUUGAGGUUCUGGAAAUUUUCUGUGUUGCUUAUUCAUCGCGUCUUGCUCGGUUUUGACUUUUACGCGCGGAGUUUAGGCUUUACCAAAUUGGCCAUAACUUUUGAUCUAUGAUGAUUUUUUGAGCAUGUGAAUAAUGUUUUCCAUAUAUAAUAAUAUUUCUGGAGCUGCUGAAAGUCAAGGUUGCUGGUUAGAUUAGAUUUAUGCUACCUGGAGUCCCACUUUUCUCCAUAUUCUCAACUUUGUUGUUCAGGAAAGAAAACCAAAUAAACAGAAAACCAAAAAGUUUGGGAUCCUUUUAUAUAUAUAUAUAUAUAUAUAUAUAUAUAUAUAUAUAUAUAUAUAUAUAUAUACACUCAAAAUUCUCCUUUAUAUCUCUAUCUUCAAAUGUGAAUGAGGCAACAACUGCACCACCUCAUAGCAGCGGUAGUGGUGGAUGGUUAGCAUACAACUGCGGCGUCCGACUUUAGCAAUGUCAACAUAACAUCAGCCUCCAAUCAAACUCAGCUUCUGGGAAGGACGAUUGUCUCCACCAACUGGGGACUGCUUGGGCCACCUACUCUGCAAACAAAGCAUCCAGUAGAAAAUGAGAGUGGCAAAAAUUGGAAAUAUAACUGUCCCACGAACUAAAGUUACUAUUACUACAUUAUAUGUGACAUGAACAAAAAUGAUUUAAAACAAAGGUUUUGGUUGUUUGAAAAUAAUAACAGUGGGUUGUUUGACUAGUCAUGUGUGGUUUGACUAUACGCAAUGCAAUUUGUGGUCUCUUAAAACCCAAUAUCCACAGUUUGAAAUAGAAUUUUAUGGGAAUUAGCAUUAAUUCAUAGACUAACAUAUAUUAGACGAAUAAUAUCCACCGAGCAUCCCUAAUAUAAAUCCAAUGUUGGAAAGUGGCUCUAUAGCUUCUGGCGCAGGUGUGGGAGCCUUCACAACAAUGCUCAUAUUAGGCCUUAGAUCAGCUUUACCCUGCAUAGACAGUGCUGCUACAACUGCAAAUAUUAGAGUGCAGCGUUAAAGUGCCAGUGAAAAUAUAAAAUAAAAUGGAUUAAGUAAUAUUCUAAUCUUUAAAUUCAAUUUCAUUUUGUUGCAAUUUUGCCACACACAGCAUUAAGACAAUGAAUAUCAACGAGGUGCCUUAAUAUUGAAUUUUUUUUGGAAAAUGCUUGACUGGUUGAGGUUGGAUUUUAUAGUUGGACUCUUGACUGCUGUUCGAGGUGUCGUAAUGUUGCGGACAAUAUUUGACUGCUCGAAGAGAUGUUGGACCUUUUAGCAAGACUUUUUACUUCUAAAGGUGCUAUUUUGUGAUUUAUUUGAUUUUGUUAUUCAUAUUUUUACUUCUAUUAUUUUUAUUAUAUUACAAAGGUCAAUGCUGCCCUACGGCCUAACUUGGUCAGGUACUGACCUUCAUUUACCAUGCAUAAUGAUCAUUUCUGUAAUCAUCAGUGGGUAAAGCAUGGGUCGUGUGGCGAAUGAGGAAGAUCAGGGUAUAUACAUAAAACAUUGGCGUUGUUUAAUGUCGUAAAUCUCUUUGAAGUACUUUGGCAACAUAUGGAUAUUUCCAUAUUGACCAAGUACUUCAAAUAGAUUUACUGCAUUAGACAACGUCAAUAAUUCAUGUAUGUACCUUGAUCUUCCUCAUUCGCCACACGACCCAUGCUUUAUCCAGUGAUGAUUCCAGAAAUGAUCGUUAAGCAUGAUAAAUGAAGGCCAAUACCUGACCAUGUUAGCUUGUAGGGCAGCAUUGACAUUUGUAACAUAAUAAAAAUAAUAUGAGUAAAUAUAUGAAUAACACAAUCAUCCAAAUCACUAAAACAUUAAGGCACCUUUAGAAGUAAAAAGUCUUGCUAUAAGGUCCUACAUCUCUUCGAAUAAAUAUUGUCCAUCAAAAUGCAACAUUACGGCACCUCGAGCAGCAGUCAAGAGUCCAACUAUAAAAUCCAACGUCAAGUCUCCUCAAGCAUCUUCCUAAAAAAUCCAGCAUCUCGUCGUUUAGUGACAAUGAUAUUCAGUGUUUUAAUGCUAUGUGUGGCAAAAUUGCAACAAAAUAAAAUUGAAUUUGAAGGUUAGAAUAUCACUCAAUCCAUUUUAUUUUAUAUUUUCAUAGUUGGUCUGGCACUUUAACGCUGUACUCUAAUAUUUGUAGUUGUAGCAACACUAUGUGUGUAGGGUGAAGCUGAUCUUAAGCCUAAAAUGAGCAUUGUUGUGAAGGCUCCCACACCUGCGCCAGAAGUUAUAGAGCCACUUUCCAACAUUGGAUUUAUAUUAGGGAUAUUCGUCUGAUAUAUGUUAGUCUAUGAAUCAAUGCUAAUCCCCAUAAAAGUCUAUGUCAAACUGUGUAUAUUGGAUUUUUAGAAGGCCACAAAUUGCAUUACGUACAGUCAAACCACACAUGACUAGUCAAACCACCCACUGUUAUUAUUUUCAAACAACAAAAACCUUUAUUUUAAAUCAUUUUUGUUCAUGUCACAUAUAAUGUAGUAAUAGUAACUUUAGUUUUGGGGAUAAUUAUAUUUCCAAUUUUUGCCAUUCACAUUUUCUGCAGGAUGCUUUGUUUGCAGAGUAGGUGGUCCAAACAGUCCCCAGUUGGUGGAUACAAUCGUCCUUCCUAAAAGCUGGAUUUGAUUGGAGGUUGAUGUUAUGUUGACAUUGCUGGAUGGUCGGAAGCCACAGUUGUAUGCUAACCAUGUUGGUGAUUUUAGUAUCACCAAUGUGUUUUGGUAGUAAUGUGAUUUACUAUAGGCCAAUGCAAUUAUGCGUUAAGUUUGAAACGAGUUAGGGUAGUGCGGAGUGCACGCUCGUCGAGCUAAACGUGUAACUGAAUACGAAUAAUAGAAACGGGGUUCCAAAGGGCGUAGCCCCUGGCGGGGUGCGGGGCAACGCCCCGUCGGGGCAGCGCCCCGUUUGAAUAGUUGUACCUUUUUCCAACAGACAUGAUCGUUUUUUUCCGAAAAGGUGUGUCUGUUCGUUUUCUACUAUUGGUCUCCUAUAUAAGGAGUCAUUUGGCCUCGAUUUUGGGACACGGAAUAUAUUUCCUCUCUACAUUCUGAUUUGUUCUCUAUUGUCAGAAAACAGAUUGCUCUUCGAGAAUUAUCCCCGCAAAGAUUUCGUGAACCCAGACAAGAAUAUGGUCGAAAUACUUUGUUCGGAAAGUAAACGAACACGAUUCUUCGAAGAUAUCCAGUAUUAUCAUACCGAAUUUCUAACAAACCAUGCACCACUACUGCUGCUAUUAGGUUUCCUUUCCUGAACAACAAAGUAGAGAAUAUAUAUGUUACGUUAGUGUUAUUCUUUGGUUUCAAGACAAUAGUAUUAUACGUAGAAGAAUCAACAAAACUUCGGCUCUCUUCUAAUAACAGAUAUGAUGAGGGGGCACUUAAGAAUUUGGUUUUGAAUUUAUUUCUUAACCUUUACUUGCCUUCUGGUGUUGUUAGCAAAUAUUUGUUUUGGAUCUUGAUAUCAUGAUUUUCACGGUGUUCUAAUUUCUAUAAUGAAAUGUAAAAAAUAUACCCGAAUCCAUGUCGGUGUUUCUGGAUUUUUACAAUUAAUAACUUCACGAUUGUAUAUGCAAAAUUGUAUUUUCUGUGAUUUAUGAUAGUUUGCAUAUUGGUAACAGUAAUUAUUACAGAAUAGCAUGUUUUUUAUGUUUGUAUUUUGAUUCUUCGAUAGUUAUUAAUUGGUAUUGAUAUGUAUCAUAAUUAAUUUUGAUAUGCAUGUGCCACCAUGUUGCCGUAAUGAACAGUGGUUUAUAAGACUUGUUCAUAAUUGAAAGUGAAUAGUUGCCGUAAUGAACAGUGGUUUAUAAGACUUGUUCAUAAUUGAAAAUGAAUAUGGAUGGCCACUUAUUGCAUAAUAAUAUCAUGUCUGUAUAUUAUAUUCAGUCAUUUCUGUAUUGUGGCUUCAUAAAAAUGUUGAAAACUAAACAUAAAAGUUCAUCAUAAAUGCUAAAAUCAUAAAUUGUGCAUUGUAUAUUUCUAAUAGGUAUGAUUGAUAUAUGUUAAAGUGUAAGUACUCAAACGAGUUCUAACAAAAGGAGUGGGUAGAAUUCUAAAUAAUUUAGAUUUUUCUCCCACAGUUUUAAUUACUUAAAGUGUUUGAGAAAUUUGGCAUAUUUUAGAAUCUUAAUUACUUCAAUGAGUAAAAUGUUCACUUCCACGUUUCUGAAUGUAUCUAAUACUUGUAUCUAUUUUACUCAUCUAUGUUCUUGUUUACAUCAAUUGUUUCAGGUUUAGGUUCAGGUAUAUUUCUCGGGUGUUUCUUUAACAUUUUUUUCCGAUCUAAGACCAAUGAUGCUUGCUUCCAUUAGGAUUAUUUGAAUUCACUAUUGUUUGAGCAUGUAGUGGGUUAGAUCAUUGAUCCUGCAUGUGAUUGAUUGAAAUUUUUAGUUGUCCAAUAUUGGUCUAAUUUUUGAAUGGUGAAAUGUGUUCUUUGUUGAAAUGGUAGAUUUUGAACAGUCAUUUGGAUGAGUUGUUAUUCACUAAUCUAGUGUUGAGGACAUCUAGACACUAGUUUUUGAAUCACCCCCAAUACUCAUUAAAAAAUUCUCUAUAAAUCUUGGUAAUGCCACAUAUUCCUUUUCUAAUACAAGAAGCUCUUGAGGCAGGAAAAAAUAUUUCUAUGAAUACUUUCCUCUGAUCAUUCCAGCUUGUAACAAAAUAUUCCUGAAAGUAGUACGAAUAAUCUAUCGCAGCACCUUAAAGAUAUAGUGGAAAGGCUCUCAACUUGAUAUGGUCUUUUGUGACUCCCUCGGGUUUCGGUGGUGUAGAUCACGCUACAUAAAAUUAUUUCAAGUGCUGAUGAGGAUCCUCUCCUACAAAACCACUAAACUUUACCAACAAGUGUAUCUAGCUAGAUUUAAGCUCAAAUGGUACAGCCAAGGUAGGUUAUUCUCAAUACAAUGCAUGAUAAGUGACAUUAGGUAUAUCAAGCUCUAUUAAAGAUCUUUGAGGUUCAUCCAUAUUCUGAUUAGUAUAUUCACUAUUAGAAUCAAAUAAAAUAUGAUUGAACAACAACACAAUAUUCCAACAGUGACCCUUUUACUCAAAAACCAAAGUGAAAAAUGAAAAAAAAACGAUUAAAAUAAAAUAUAAAAUAGCAACAAAAAUUUCUGACAGUAUCCUUAUUACAAAAAAUUCAAAAGUCAAUCUAAAAGAAGGAAUUUGAAAUUUUUAGAGUGAACAUCUAAGGGAGUCAUGUUCUUCGAUUAUUUGUGAUUCUAUGGGAACAUUUUGGAACAAUCUGAAUAAUUGCUCAAUGGUCGCUUGCGUGACUAUUUGGAAUAUUUACCUAUAUACGACAACCUUGUAAAUUAAUAUAUAUAUAGUUAAAACUUGCUAAAAUAGACCUUCAUAAAAACAAGUGAAUCUAUUGUAGCAAACCCCACAGGGGUUUGCUAUAAUACACCCACUUAAUUUUAUGAAGGUGUGUUUUAGUAAGUUUUAACUAAAAAAUAUUUAAAUGCACCCUAAGGUGCAUGUUGCUAAAAUAGACCUUCAUAAAAACAAGUGGGUCUAUUAUAGCAAAACCCAUAUAUAUAUUUUGCUAAUAGGAUUCUAAAAUUGACUUUAUUGUUAGAGAAUCCUCAAUAAUGACAUUAAUUUGAUUUAUUGUCUCACACGAGUCUAAAAAAAAUUAAUAAAAGUUGUAGUUUAUAAAAGUGACACUUGAGUUGUAUCGCAUAAACUCCUAAUUCAAUUGACUAAAUUUACAAUGAAUAGUUAUAAAGUGGACUUUUCGAGUUUGCACGAUUUUAAGGAAAUUCUAUAAAAAUGUGUGAGUACAAAUCUAUUGAUCUGCUAAAUCGCCAACCCGCCAACUCUGACCUAUCAGUUCUACGGUUCAAUUUCUAAUUUCAAUUUUAUUCACUACCAAAAAAAAAUACAUUUUAUGACAAAGUAAAUAAUAGGCACGUCACAUUUUAAAUUUAAAAAAAAUAUGUUACAUAUUCCCUCUGCUGAGCUGCCAACCUAGUAAAAAAGUAUACAGAGAACACGUCUUUGAAUUCCAACAACUGCAUUUUAGUAAUUUUUAAUUUUUUAUAUUUUUGUUUAUGGUCUACUACCUCAGGUGAGCUGGCAACCGAGGGAAAAAAUAUUAAUAGAACACGCCUUCAAAUUCCAACUACUACAUUUUAGCACCUUUUAUUUUAUUUAUAUUUUUAUUUAUGGCCUAUUACCUUGGCUGAGCUAGCAACUGAAAGGAAAAGUACUCAGGGGACACACCUUCCAAUACCAGCAACUACAUUUUAGCAACUUUUAAAUCUUUUUUUAUUUUUGUUUAUGAUAUAUUACCUCGGCUAUGCUAGAAAAAGAAGGGAAAGUAUUGAUCAACUUCCGUUUUGAAUUUCAACAACUGUAUUUUAACGCAUUUUAUUUAUGUAACUUUAUUUUUUAUUUAUGACCUAUUACCUCAUUUGAUCUAGCAACCGAGUGGAAAUAUUUUGCCCAAUUUGAUGAAAUAAUUAACGAAUAUUUGUAAGUCAUUAGUAAAAUAACAAUGUUCAAGACAUUGUUAAAUCAUCAAUCCACAUGAAACAUUAGUGAUCCGCGUGAAACCCUCACCAGCCAAUCAAAACGUGAAAGCCACAACGAUCCAUGUUGGACGUAAAGUGAUGAAAUACAAACUUAAGAUAAUGAAAAUAGUGAUAAUGAAAGCAAUUGCAUGAAGUACAACAUCUUUCUCUCAGAUGGAUUGCAAAAGCAGAAAAAUAUUUCAAGGUUGGUUCCUUAAUGCAAUCUCUUCACCUAUAAUUGCUUGUUAAAAUGUUUGAUGUUAGUUUAAAAAGAAAGGAUGUAACUUAGCAAUGUUAGUUCUUGCUCUUGUGUCUAGUAAAAUGUUUAAUGUAGUUGUUGUUGUUGCUGAGAUUUAAUGUUUAAAGAUUCUAUUGAUUUUGCUUAUUUUUGUUGUUGAGAUUUUAUAUUUAAAUCUUCUAUUGAUUUUGUUGUUGUUGUUUUUAUAAUACAAAUUUAAUAUUUAACGGUUGUAUUGAUUUUGUUUUGUUACUGUUGAUGUUGAUGAUAAUGAGGAGGAAGAAUAAAAACUCGUCAACAAAUUUGAUUCUUUGCAUAUCAAAAGAAAAUAAAAUAGGUUAAAACAAAAAUUAAGUAAAUAUGAUAUUUUACCUUUGGUGUUAAUUCCAAUUGAGGGGAAAGUUUUUCGUUUUGAAAGUUUAAAAAAUGUUUUUGAUGACGGGUCGAACCCAUGACCAAUCACAUUUUCCCCUCGGUUGGGAAUUCAACUGAGGGAAAAAUGGCACACUUUUUAUAACACCCUUAUUUACUUGCCCACUAAAAACGAUGUAAAACCCAUUUCCAAUCGAGAUAAUAGCACUUAUUUAUAGUACUUAUUCCUUUUUUACUAUAGAGUGCAUUAAACAAGCGCCAAUUAACCUCAUGUGAAUUUGAAUUCCUUUUAUUGGAUAAAGAAUCAUGGUUGACAGUGAACUAGAGUUAAACAAUCAAGCAUAGUAAAACUAUAACCUAUCGAUUAUGUCCUAAGGAAUUGAAUUCUAUCGGACUAAAUUCUAUCGGCAUUUGAAUUAAACGUUCACUACAAACAAAAUCAUAUAGGAAAGGAAUAUCAUUAAUGAAAUUAAAUAUAUAACGUACAAACCUCGAGUUGUGACGAAUUGGUGCAACAACGGAUCGAAAAAAAAUUUUAACCGUCCAUGUGAGGUUCUCUUUUUGAUUACUUAUAUACUGGACAUUACUUCUCUCAUCUCAUAGGUGUCAUAGGUGAGAGUGGACAUAGCGAAAAUAUAAAUUUGUCCUUGUAUUUGUGGACGCAUCUAUAAUACAUAAUUUUUCCUUGUAUCCUUGGACGCAUCUAUAAUACACACACCUCAACAAUUUGCUCAAACUUAACACUUCUCUAUUUUGGAAAGGGUUGAGCUUAGAUAUGGUUGAGAAAGCGGAUAAGCUUCCUUGCUCUUGCAAAAUACAUAGCCUCUUAAGCUGACCGAAAGAACUUCUCAAUAGCUUUCCUGUUAUUCUUAGAUUGUGGCAUACAAAGAUAUUUUUUUGGUUUUGCUAUAUGACUCCCUGUCAAGUCAGCUUGAUCGAAAUGUGUUGAAAUUGCUUGACUCCCUUGUUUCUUUCUGUCACCCUACACCAAUGUUAUACCAAAUAAAAAAAUUCUCUUUUUUUUUUCUUUUCAAAAUGCUAAAAUUCUCCUCUUUAUCUGAUA